AAAAAUGCGCACCUUGAAAUCUGCGAAGAAGCUAUGAUUGAAUGUGCUUUUAAAGAUUUUGGAUGCAACAAGAAAGCCCCAAGAAGAGAGAUGCAGGAACAUGAGAAGGACCCACACAAUGCACUGCUUAAUCAAGUGAUCCUUAUAUUAAACUGGGGACUAAAUAUUUGCCGGUGAUGACAAUGUGCAAUAAAUAUUUUGAACAAGAGGAC